UACGUAGGGGGCAAGCGUUGUCCGGAUUUAUUGGGCGUAAAAGGCUUGUAGGUGGCCACGCCAAGUCGGAUGUGAAAUCUCCCGGCUCAACUGGGAGGGGUCAUUCGAUACUGGCGGGUUCGAGGCCGGUAGGGGGAAGCGGAAUUCCCGGUGUAGUGGUGGAAUGCGUAGAUAUCGGGAGGAACACCAGUGGCGAAGGCGGCUUCCUGGACCGGUUCUGACACUGAGGAGCGAAAGCGUGGGGAGCGAUCCGG
rnacentral:rRNA from 1 species